ACACAUACACAGUCCUGACAAUAAAGGCAGCACAUGCAUUCUCUUAGUACAAGCAGCUGGACGUCUGGCCUUUCUUUUCUUGAUACCCUGGACUUGCUUGUGGCGCGGGCGCCGCAGAAGUUGAGGAUGUCCCUCCCAGGACCAGGCAGAAUGCCUACAGCAGACAGAUAUCUCACUGAGCUCGAGCUGAGGCAAGUUGACUUCUGAUGCCCCCGCUUGAAUGUAAACACUGAAUUGCCAAAGACUGAGAGCCCUUAACCCCAUACAGUGAUGCGAAGAUCCCAUCAUAAAUAAUGAAAAGUUUGAUCUGCCAAUGUCCCCUGGGAAAAGUGACUUGGAUGAUACACAAGAUAAGGAUUCAAACGGAAAAAAUGAUCCAAGAAUUCAAAGGCAAUGAACAAAUGCCAAAUUGAAGACUGCAGAAAUAUACUUGGAUGAAAUAAAAGCAACUCAUGAAAACA